CGUCGGGGCUUCUGGCGCGAGCAAAGGCGGUGGGUCGCGAGCGGAGACGAGCUCGGCUCAGAUCUGCCUGCGUCGGGUAGUUGGCGACGGGCGUUGAGGCAGAGCACGGCAGCGACGGGCGUCGAGCGGCGAGGGUUCGCGCGAGCGACGUCGGUGACUGGCGUCUAGUGGUGGUGGCCUUGAGGGCGAGCGGCGUCCGGCGGCAAGACUCAGAGCGGCGUCCGGCGAGACUCUGAAAAAUGGAAAGUGAGGGGGUCGGUAGUCUCGGGGGAGUGGGGUUCCCUUUGG
rnacentral:lncRNA from 1 species